rnacentral:rRNA from 1 species
AUACGUAGGUGACAAGCGUUAUCCGGAUUUACUGGGCGUAAAGGGCGUGUAGGCGGUCUUGCAAGUCAGAAGUGAAAUUCCUGAGCUCAACUCGGGCGCUGCUUCUGAAACUGCAGGACUUGAGUGCUGGAGGGGAUAGCGGAAUUCCUAGUGGAGCGGUAAAAUGCGCAGAUAUUAGGAAGAACACCGGUGGCGAAGGCGGCUAUCUGGACAGUAACUGACGCUGAGGCGCGAAAGCGUGGGGAGCAAACAGGAUUAGAUACCCUGGUAGUCCACACUGUAAACGAUGAAUGCUAGGUGUAGGAGGUAUCGACCCCUUCUGUGCCGCAGUAAACACAGUAAGCAUUCCGCCUGGGGAGUACGGUCGCAAGAUUAAAACUCAAAGGAAUUGACGGGA